GUGCUCGCAUUGGCAGCGCAUAUACUAAAAUUGGAAGGAUACAGAGAAGAUUAGCAUGGCCCCUGUGCAAGGAUAAGCACAAACUCGUGAAGCAUUCCAUAUUUAA